CUACGUAGGGUGCGAGCGUUGUCCGGAAUUACUGGGCGUAAAGAGCUCGUAGGUGGUUUGUCGCGUCGUCUGUGAAAUUCCGGGGCUUAACUCCGGGCGUGCAGGCGAUACGGGCAUAACUUGAGUACUGUAGGGGAGACUGGAAUUCCUGGUGUAGCGGUGAAAUGCGCAGAUAUCAGGAGGAACACCGGUGGCGAAGGCGGGUCUCUGGGAAGUAACUGACGCUGAGGAGCGAAAGCAUGGGUAGCGAACAGGAUUAGAUUCCCUGGUAGUCCAUGCCGUAAACGGUGGGCGCUAGGUGUAGGGGUCUUCCACGACUUCUGUGCCGUAGCUAACGCAUUAAGCGCCCCGCCUGGGGAGUACGGCCGCAAGGCUAAAACUCAAAGGAAUUGACGGGG
rnacentral:rRNA from 1 species